GUGGGCCGCGCCUUGUCUUUAGUUUCUGUUUUGGCUCGGGUGGGGUGAGCCGCUGAGCAGAAGCAGCCAUGAGGCUGCCCUUUUGGCUGGGCUGGCUCCUGUUCUUUGCGUCCCUGCUGGCACACAUCUGCUGUGAGGACGUGUUUGGCAUCUUGGGAGAAAAUUUUACUUUUCCAGUAAAAAUAGACCAAAACAUAGUGGAAAUUAUUUGGACAAAAAACAAGGAUAAAGUGGCUGAAUGGGAAGGGCAAACCAACCCGAUAUAUUUUACUUCUCUCCAGAACAGAAGCUUGCUUAACAAGGAGAAUGGGCACUUGACUAUAUUUAACUUGGAAAACAAUGAUGCUGGCACAUAUGUGUUAGACUGCUUGAAUUCUGGGGAAAAAAGUUAUGUCUUAACCUUCAUACUUGCUGUGUUAGCUCCUCCGUCAGAACCUGAAAUAAGUUGCAACAUCAGUGGUAAUGACAUGGCGUUAAAAUGUACAGCAGAUUUCCCGAAGCCUCUGAAUUACUCUUGGAAGUUCAGUAGCUUACCAUUCACUCAUCAGACCCAGGAAAUUGUCAUCCCUAAGAAGAACGUUCCUGCCUCUGAGAGCGCUGCAUGUUUCAUUAAAGUCUCUCAAACGGAAAAGAGCUCUGAAAUCUCUUUGACUCAAUGCUUUCCAGAUAAAAAAGGGGACAGCUAUGACAAAAGAAACAGAGGUGGUCUUAUCGCAGCUUUUACUCUCUUAAUUCCAGUUGUAGGAGUACUAGGAUUCCUAUACAGAAGAGGUAGAAUUAAACGUGGAACAGGAAGAGCUGCUCUGAAGAGCAGUCUGCUGCAUGGCUCAGCUACAUCUUCACAAGCUGUUGAUUGUGAGAAUGAAAAGUCUGAAGCAGGUGAAGAAUUGAACAAGGAGAACAGUGCCCUGAAAGACAAGCAGACAGUUAACAGGGAUGUAAAUCAAGAAGAAGCCUCUGCCAUGCAGAACAGCACCCUGACAUCUGAGUGUGCAGUUAACCAUGGUGUAACUGAGGAAGACACCUUUAAGACGGAGAACAGCAGCUUGCUGGCCAAGCAUGCAGGUGACCAUGGUGUAAAUGAAGGAGAAGUGACCCAGGAUGCGGAAGGUGGAAAUGGGGAGCACCUGAGCAACUCUCCCAGCUUCAGUAAAGAAGAGAGACAUCUCUACUCUGAAGCACCAGCAAAAGCCAGAGAUGAAUGAGCAGCCAAGACCCCAGCUCAUCAGCCGGUCAGCCAGGGAUGCGGGUGGGAGAAAGUACGCGCUGAUAGUUCAGUCUCUUUCCAAGGCGCUGUAAGGUGAUGACACUGUUUCCACCAGCUUGUGCUGGAUGCCGGCGGUGCAGCUGACCCCUGGUCUACAGCAACGGGAAGACUUUGCUCGAAGCCUGCGAGUGGUAUCUGUUGCUUUGGGAGCAGUUUGUCCAAGAUGGUCAUGUUUCACCAAGGAGGAGAAAGAAGGUCACUCAGAAGUAUUCUUGUCUCCAAGGAAAAACUCUUCAUUUCUAUUUUAAUCUCUCUGGGGAUGAAUCGCCUCCUAAAAAAACCUGGGAGAGCAGAGAAGUAAGAGCAUGUAGGUGAGCACAUGUGAAAAAGAGGAGGCUGGGGACAACCAUGUUUCAGACUGGCUGUCACACUGAUUUGCUUUUAGAAAGUAUUUUUUUAAAG